UGGGUCCCUGCGGGAAUCGCCAGGGGUCUUUGCGACUUUGACCAGUAGGAGCAGGCAACAACAGAGCCAGGCCGCCUCCAGCCGUUUCCAACUCUGCCCCAGCAACAGCGCCAGAGCCCCAGCCAGGCGACCCAGCGCCCGCGCGCGGGGAGAGAAGCAGCUGUUCCCAACAGCUGGGGGGCGGCGGCGCCGGGCGCCCCAGGUGCUGUCCCGGCCAAUCGCAGGCGUCCGGCCCGCCCCCUCCCCAGCCGGGCGUCGACCCCCAGGGCCGCUGGGGAAAAAGGAAUAGAGGGUUGGAGAGCGGUCCUCCGUCCGCACUGGUGUGGCAGCUACUAAGCAGAAGGGACGGUUCCCAGACCGAGCCGGGCCCAGCACCGCGCCCCCAGCUGCCACCUCCGCGCCCCCGGGACACGGUAGCCUCUGAGCCAACCCCCAUCCCACUAAGCCACUCGAUUUUUUGAGAAAGAACCAUCUACCUCUUCUGGACUUGGAGACCACCACCCUCUCUGCAUUUAAGAAAAAAAAUAUUUUUAUUUUAUUUUUACUUUCACGCGGCGUGAGUGCAAAAGGCUCCCACAGUCCGCGGCUACGGAGCUGGUUACCCGGACGAUCCGGAAGGUCUGGACAGUGACCGGACGCGGGGACUGGAGCAGAGCGCCUGGGCGAGUGUCGGGGACAGUGGGCCACUUGGGAAGCCGCGCGCCCAGCGCCCACGCCGCCCCCUCGCCCCCGCGCGCGCCCUCGGCCCCCGGCGGCCGCCGCGCGCUGCGGGAGACGCGGAGCCCGAGGACCAGGCGCAGCCGCAGCCGCAGCCGGAGCCCGAGCCGCGGGGCGGGCGCGAAGAUGCACACCACCCAGAAGGACACGACGUACACCAAGAUCUUCGUGGGAGGGCUGCCCUACCACACCACCGACGCCAGCCUGCGCAAGUACUUUGAGGUCUUCGGAGACAUCGAGGAAGCGGUGGUCAUCACAGACCGGCAGACCGGCAAGUCCCGGGGCUACGGAUUUGUCACCAUGGCUGACAGGGCUGCCGCUGAAAGGGCCUGCAAGGAUCCCAACCCCAUCAUCGAUGGUAGGAAGGCCAAUGUGAAUCUGGCAUACUUGGGAGCAAAACCAAGAAUCAUGCAGCCAGGUUUUGCCUUUGGCGUUCAACAGCUUCACCCAGCCCUUAUCCAGAGACCUUUCGGGGCUCGUAUACAGUUAAGCUAACUGAUCAGAAGGAUGCGGUGAUGAGAGGUGGACUAGUUCUGUUUGGAGUUAAACUCUGUAACCAGUAGACUCAGACACACAAGCUCAGAUGGAUCCCCGCCCACUACGUCUACCCGCAGGCUUUUGUGCAGCCUGGAGUGGUCAUUCCCCAUGUGCAGCCCACAGCAGCCGCGGCUUCCACCACACCGUACAUUGAUUACACUGGAGCCGCCUACGCUCAGUACUCCGCUGCCGCAGCCGCCGCCGCAGCGGCCGCUGCCUAUGACCAGUACCCCUAUGCAGCAUCCCCAGCUGCUGCAGGCUAUGUAACCACUGGGGGCUACAGCUAUGCUGUCCAACAGCCCAUCACCGCCGCUGCGCCCGGGACAGCUGCUGCUGCGGCUGCAGCUGCUGCAGCCGCAGCCGCCUUUGGCCAGUACCAGCCUCAACAGCUGCAGACAGACCGAAUGCAGUAGACCAGCUGUCUGAUCAAAGUCAAAAGGGUUUCUCUUUUCCUCCUGAUCUCCCAGUUUUUUAGUAGCUAAUGAGAAAGUUAACAGUUGACCUGCCGGCUUUAAAGGGAGAAGGCAAGGCUAGUGUGAAGCAGAGGUGUUACUUUUUACCAUACUCCCGGUAGUGCUACAGGUGAUAAGGGGAGAAAGGGAGGGCGAGAAACAGUUUUUGAAGUCAAUCCCAAAGAGCCCGAGUUACACAGAAUAGCCACUAGGAGAUGAUGGCAGGGGUACCAAUGGGACUUCACUUUUGUAUGGGGAUUUUUAUUUUUUGCUCUUUUUUUAUAGUAUCAGGGAAGCAAACUGCCUUUUCCAAGUUAGAAAAUGCUAUGUGAAUCUAGUUGAACCAGGGAAUACGGAGUGAGCAAUAUGUAGCUUGAAUUACGCGUAAAAGUAGAUUUAAAAAGAAAAGAAAAGAAAACAAGACAGAAAAGCGCUGGUUGUCCUUCGUUGCAGUAACGGCAGGCCUGCAGAACUUUGUUGAGGCAGGAGGUAGUGUGUUUGUGCUAUCUCAGAAGAUGGGCAUCGAACAAUCAGUUUCGGGGUGUGACGGCGGGGACGGUGGUGGACAGGUACCAAAGCUAUUUUCUCAUCUGUCCUGUGGACGAGUGGGGUUGUGGAGCCAUUGAUACUGCACCAGCCGCUCAGACAAUCAACAGCACACACUGUUCAAGAAAGAGUCCAUCACUUGUACUCGUGGGAGGAGCUUGUCCCAUUAUAACUCCUCUCCCCAUUCCCUGUCACUUGGGGAUGAUUUCAUCUGCGGGUCAGGCUUUCACCACACCACUUGUCUUUCUAUUUAUUACAUAGACUAGAGGAUUAUGGGUAAAGGCAGGCAGAAGUUGCAGAUGCUCGCCCCUUCGGGACUGUCUGAAGGACCUUUCUUUUCCUCCUGCCCCACCCCUCCCCCUUUAAAAUAAUUUGACACGUUUUUCGUAUCUAUUUCAGAGUCCUAUUUAAAACUAUUUAUUAGUGACUACAGUACCUAAGACAGCAAGGUUCUUGACAUUACAGUUCUCCGACAGUUGAUGAUCUUGUACUUUAUAAUGUGCCUUAAUAAUAAUCCUAUUUAAGAUAUUUAUUUUUAAGUUUUACUAUGCUGCACUCUAAAGGAAGGAACUUUAGAAGUGACACUGUAAAAUUAUGUAUUCAUCUCAUGGCAUAAGUUAUUCAGUAGGUCUAGAUGUAGCAUAUUAAAUAUUAACCUAUUCAACUAAAGACGUUGGCUUUGGAUUUAUUUAAAUUCAUAUGUGCACUGUUCGGGUGGGUACUCUUGCCUAAACAUAUUUGAGUUUAUUUUAGUCUUGAGUUGUUUUACUUUUUUUUUUUUUUUAAACAAGCUACAUCGCUGGUUCUGUGCUUCCUCAAUUGCUUUCCCCCUGUGGAUCUCAUGUACCGGGGACUCAUGGCAUCCCCGCUUUCCUCGUGUAGUGUAUGUAGUUUUAAAAGACGGCUUUAUAUUUUUCCUUCUGAAAGUGAGAUACUUGCAAUUUUUACUCUUAAACUAAAAUGAAUACUAUUUUACACUGUAUUGGACUUUUAUACUUGAAGAACUUCCUACAAUGGAUAAUUUUUAUGGACUCUCUCCAUUGUCACUGGAUUUAAGUAUUCCUGUGCCGGGCAGUGGUCCGCAAAGGAGGGCGUGGCUCUCCUGUGCAAAUUAUUUAUUUGUUGUGUAUUUCGCUUUAUAAUGUUUCAGAUCUUCUCAUCUAUUCACUUGUAUUAAAUAUAAUUUUUAAAAACUG